AAGUUAACGGGGCCCGCACAAGCGGUGGAGUAUGUGGUUUAAUUCGAUGCAACGCGAAGAACCUUACCUGGUCUUGACAUCCCGGAGACCCUUAGGAAACUAGGGGGUGCUUCCAUCUGGAAGAAUCUGGAGACAGGUGCUGCAUGGCUGUCGUCAGCUCGUGUCGUGAGAUGUUGGGUUAAGUCCCGCAACGAGCGCAACCCUUGCCUUUAGUUGCCAGCAGUUCGGCUGGGCACUCUAAAGGGACUGCCGGUGUUAAACCGGAGGAAGGUGGGGAUGACGUCAAGUCCUCAUGGCCUUUAUGACCAGGGCUACACACGUACUACAAUGGCCGAUACAAAGGGCAGCGACACUGCGAGGUGAAGCCAAUCCCGUAAAAUCGGUCUCAGUCCGGAUUGGAGUCUGCAACUCGACUCCAUGAAGUUGGAAUCGCUAGUAACCGUGGAUCAGCAUGCCACGGUGAAUACGUUCCCGGGCCUU
rnacentral:rRNA from 1 species